UACGAAGGGGGCUAGCGUUGUUCGGAAUCACUGGGCGUAAAGCGCAUGCAGGCGGAUUGUUAAGUCGGGGGUGAAAUCCCGAGGCUCAACCUCGGAACUGCCUUCGAUACUGGCAAUCUUGAGUCCGGGAGAGGUGAGUGGAACUGCGAGUGUAGAGGUGAAAUUCGUAGAUAUUCGCAAGAGCACCAGUGGCGAAGGCGGCUCACUGGCCCGGUACUGACGCUGAGGUGCGAAAGCGUGGGGAGCAAACAGG
rnacentral:rRNA from 1 species